rnacentral:tRNA from 1 species
GACUUUUUAACUAUAUAAAAGUAUGUAUUUUGAAAAUACAAAAAAGAAUAAUAAUUCUAAAAGUCU